rnacentral:rRNA from 1 species
AGAGUUUGAUCCUGGCUCAGGACGAACGCUGGCGGCGUGCCUAAUACAUGCAAGUCGAGCGAGCGGAACUAACAGAUUUACUUCGGUAAUGACGUUAGGAAAGCGAGCGGCGGAUGGGUGAGUAACACGUGGGGAACCUGCCCCAUAGUCUGGGAUACCACUUGGAAACAGGUGCUAAUACCGGAUAAGAAAGCAGAUCGCAUGAUCAGCUUUUAAAAGGCGGCGUAAGCUGUCGCUAUGGGAUGGCCCCGCGGUGCAUUAGCUAGUUGGUGAGGUAACGGCUCACCAAGGCGACGAUCAGUAGCCGGACUGAGAGGUUGAACGGCCACAUUGGGACUGAGACACGGCCCAGACUCCUACGGGAGGCAGCAGUGGGGAAUAUUGGGCAAUGGGCGCAAGCCUGACCCAGCAACGCCGCGUGAAGGAUGAAGGCUUUCGGGUUGUAAACUUCUUUUAUCAGGGACGAACAAAAUGACGGUACCUGAUGAAUAAGCCACGGCUAACUACGUGCCAGCAGCCGCGGUAAUACGUAGGUGGCAAGCGUUAUCCGG